UGGGGAAUCUUGGACAAUGGGCGCAAGCCUGAUCCAGCCAUGCCGCGUGGAUGAUGAAGGCCUUAGGGUUGUAAAAUCCUUUCGUUGGGGACGAUAAUGACGGUACCCAAAGAAGAAGCUCCGGCUAACUUCGUGCCAGCAGCCGCGGUAAUACGAAGGGGGCUAGCGUUGUUCGGAUUUACUGGGCGUAAAGCGCGUGUAGGCGGGUCGUUAAGUUGGGGGUGAAAUCCCGAGGCUCAACCUCGGAACUGCCUUCAAAACUGGCGACCUGGACCUAAGUAGAGGCAAGUGGAAUUGCGAGUGUAGAGGUGAAAUUCGUAGAUAUUCGCAGGAACACCAGUGGCGAAGGCGACUUGCUGGACUUAUGGUGACGCUGAGACGCGAAAGCGUGGGGAGCAAACAGGAUUAGAUACCCCGGUAGUCCCUGAGCGGGCUGGCAAGGCGCAU
rnacentral:rRNA from 1 species